rnacentral:snoRNA from 2 species
AAGACUAUACUUGCAGGGAUCAUUUCUGUAGUUGGUUACUAGAGAAGUUUCUUGUCUGUAGUUGGUUAUUAGA